AAAAUAGAAUAGAGUCUCUCUCUCUCUCUCUCUCUCUCUCUCUCUCUCUCUCUCUCUCUCUCUCACACACACACACACACACACACACACACACACAGAGAGAGAGAGAGAGAGAGGAGACAGAGAGAGACAGAGAGAGACAGAGAGACAGAGA
rnacentral:miRNA from 1 species